UAAUUUAAAGACUCACCUUUAUUGAAUUGUUUAUAAACCAGGUUUAAAAACAAUAUCCACUAAAUUAAAAUUCUUUUACAUGGUAACUACACAUUAACUGCAUAUUAACUAAAUUUGUAUGUAAUUAUCAAAGGCGACACCUGUGUGUUGACAAGUUUGUCCGUUUUCUUUUGUUUUUUUAUGUAAGCCCAACUUGAGCGCCAGUGUGAAAAAUCUCUGCUACAUGCCUUUUUGCGACCUUUCAAAACAAAAUUUAAAAAAGAUUUUGAUGGAAAACGAUCUGGAUGUGGCUUGGAAAUUGGCAUUUUUAACACGAUUUCUACAUUGGUGCAUCGGACAAGACAAGAGUCAAAGUAUACAAGUUUACAAGGUGUGGGAGCUAGACAUGGGAUAUAAGCUGCCAUUAUAAUAUACGAAAAAAGGGAACUUAGCUCCUUCCGUGGAAAAUACUGCUGUAUCCUUCCUCUUUUUUAAAAACAAAAUUUCCACGAGAUCUUUGACCUGAACUGCUAAAAAAUUCUUCUAUUACUUCAACUUCGUGUUACAUCCUUAUGAACUCGAAGGUCUGUAGCUGGAAUUUUCUAUAAUAUAUAUUUCUCACCACUGCCCCGACCGCACGGAGAAGUCUCCUCGUCAGCGACGGGCG
rnacentral:sRNA from 1 species